rnacentral:lncRNA from 10 species
UCACCUGACCUGGAGAGUUCAAAGUGCCUAACACAGGGAUGCUGCUACCCACAAGCCUGGAUCCUGGCGUGCUCCGCGGCUCUCCUUCAAGCCCUGGCCUCAUCAGACCUCCAAGGCUCCCUAGACAGGGUUAAUUAUUCACGUGGCCUGGGACCCAGGGUUCGUUUGUUUGUUUUUCCCGACACAGUAGGGUCCACGAGGAAGUCAGGAUCCACCGGCAAUAUUUGCAGUGUUAUGUUGAAUGUGGCAACUGGCUGCGUGAGGAUAGAGAAGUAAACAGCAUGUCCGGUGGCAGUCGGUUACCACACAGAAUUUAGGAGGCCCAGUGAAAUGCAAAUGCUAGGUCCCCCUCCCCUCUGGGUGAGCCUGGAUGCCAGCACCCUGUUCCGCCCGCCCAGCAUGCAGAACAAAAGCACAACGCACAGAAACACAGCCGGUGCGCGCAGGGCGGCAGGCUGGCUUCUCCCUCCCUCCUGCCGAGGUCUCCGGCCCCUUCCCCCUUCCCUCCUUCCCUCCCCUCUCCUCUUCUAUUAGAAAAUGGGAGUGUUAGGGUUGAAUUG